ACGGUGUUCCGCUGUAGUAACUAAAGACUAUAAGAGCAUCUG
rfam:Lysinibacillus manganicus DSM 26584 contig1, whole genome shotgun sequence.